UGGGGAAUUUUGGACAAUGGGCGAAAGCCUGAUCCAGCAAUGCCGCGUGUGUGAAGAAGGCCUUCGGGUUGUAAAGCACUUUUGUCCGGAAAGAAAUCCUUGGCUCUAAUACAGUCGGGGGAUGACGGUACCGGAAGAAUAAGCACCGGCUAACUACGUGCCAGCAGCCGCGGUAAUACGUAGGGUGCAAGCGUUAAUCGGAAUUACUGGGCGUAAAGCGUGCGCAGGCGGUUUGCUAAGACCGAUGUGAAAUCCCCGGGCUCAACCUGGGAACUGCAUUGGUGACUGGCAGGCUAGAGUAUGGCAGAGGGGGGUAGAAUUCCACGUGUAGCAGUGAAAAUGCGUAGAGAUGUGGAGGAAUACCGAUGGCGAAGGCAGCCCCCUGGGGCCAAAUACUGACGCUCAUGCACGAAAAGCGUGGGGAGCAAACAGGAUUAGAUACCCUGGUAGUCCACGCCCUAAACGAUGUCAACUAGUUGUUGGGGAUUCAUUCCUUAGUAACGUAGCUAACGCGUGAAGUUGACCGCCUGGGGAGUACGGUCGCAAGAUUAAAACUCAAAUGAAUUGACGGGGUCAUAGCUGUUUCCU
rnacentral:rRNA from 1 species